GGGAGCUUAGAUGUGGAAGCUCUUUGGAAACCAAGAAACACUCUGAAAAUGAAAAGGGUGGAAGAGUAAACUGUUCCUGUUUCUCCAUCUUGACAGGAAGCAGAAGUUCUCCUUAGCUGAUUUUUCUUCUUGCCUUAUACUGGGUUCUUUAACACCAGAACAAAAAUAAAUAAAUAAAAGAAUCUUCCAGAAAUUCAUGAAGAGACUUCAGGUCAGGAAAGCCUGAACUUUCUCAUCCAACACCCGUUCAAGUCGGAGGAUGCUGAUUAAUUCAUGAUGGAAAGGUAUCAAUUUCACAGCCCAGACCUCUACAUUCUUGAAAUGCUCUUCUCAUGGGAGACAUUAAAUAAGCUUUGAAUUAACUGAGACCUCUGUGGAUUCUAUAACUCAAAGACCCAGGCUGACGGCUGGUGGAAUAGCUACCAUCUCAAACAUGGCGUGAUGCUGCAUCAGAGAGAAAAAUAAGCUCUUGCAUUGACAAUGAAAUGUCUACCCUGUAGUGACUUGUGCUUACUUCCACUCACAAGUGAUUGCCCAGAGCUACUUACCUGGCUCCAAUCUACCACUGGGUGUGUACUUGCAAUCUACCAUGUACCUAGAAGAUGAGAGAAACAAAUUAUUAAUGAUGACCACACCCCAAUACUAACAACAAUUGCAGAAGAAUCAAUGACUUAAACAAAAAUGUGGCCAUUGAAGGAAUAGAAAAUAUAGACCUUGUAUUGAAGACAGCGUAACCCCCAAGAGGAAAGGAGCUUGGAGCCCUGAAUCAGAGUAGAAGACAGGCUGAAUGAAUACCAGCCUUGGACUGUUGUGUGAAUGAAAAACAAGUUUUGAGAUUUGUGUGGUUUAUUUAUUAUAGUUACUGUUAUUAUUAAAGUUUUUCACUGCUUUACUCUCA
rnacentral:lncRNA from 10 species